UACAGAGGAGCCAAGCGUUGUCCGGAUUGACUGGGCGUAAAGCGCACGCAGGCGGAUGCGCGCGUGGGGUGUGAAAUCUGGCCGCUUAACGGCCAGGCGCCAUCCCAUACGGCGCGUCUGGAGUGAUGCAGAGGUCGAUGGAAUUGCCGGUGUAGUGGUGAAAUGUGUAGAGAUCGGGAGGAACACCGGUGGCGAAGGCGGGUCUCUGGGCAUUUCCUG
rnacentral:rRNA from 1 species